AUAGGAAUUGAGGCUACAUCUAUAUAUAGCCAUACCAUUUGUAUCUUUUGAUUUAUGUAAAAAGGGAUUGUGAUAAUCUUUUGAUUUGUAUCUUUUCGGAUUAUAUCUUUUUUUACAGCUUCAUAUCUAUCGUCCAGCGCCGUGAUGAAUUGGUAUAAUCGUUGCUUUUUUUGUACCUUUCUAUAGCUGUGACAGCUUCCCCUUCCAUUGGGUUAGGGUCGUGGCGAUCGAUGGAUAUCCAUAGUUUCUGCAAUCUAUGCCAUAGGGCCUCCAACGAGAGUCCUUCUUGUUUGAUGACUUCGGUUUGUCGGUGCAAGUCAUACACCUAGAACGGAUCUGUCCCACUCCCAUAUGUGAUAGCAAGACCAUCCCAUAAGUCUUUUGCCGUCGCAUAUUGGGAUACUUCAUUCACCAAAUCGCCUUCGAUAUUGUUGAUGAUCCAAUUGAACACACAGUGAUCAUGUUGCUGCCACUGUUGGUAAGUAGAGUCAGAUCGGAGGGGGGGUUCGGACACUCCAUGAAUGUGAGAAGUUAGUCCUUUUCCUCCGAUUGCUCGAUCCAUAAGGUCGGCCCAGAGGGGAUAAUUUUCCAUCCAGUUUGGCUUGGACGACAAUUUCUCCAAGAGAUUCGGGACAAUGAGUCUUUGGUGGUGGUGGUGGGUUGUGAUUGCUCGGUGCAAGGAAAAAAAUCGAGAAAAGGUCUAUGGAUUGUGUUGAAAUUUUCAUGAAUCCUUACCCGCUCGUGAUACCAUAUUGAAAAUAGAGAAAAGAGAUUGGAGAAGAAUACUUUCUGUCAUAUCUUAUUUCUAUUCAUUCUCAUCCUUACUAUAGGAUUCAAUACAAUGUAUUUUAGGUAGAGAAUAGCCUAUUUCUAGACUAAAUGAAAAUGUAUCAAUUACAAUAUUUUCUCCUAA